AAGUCGUAACAAGGUUUCCGUAGGUGAACCUGCGGAAGGAUCAUUAUUACGUAUCCACGUAUCAACCCAAUUGUGAACUGUUUCCCGUCUGAUGAGGAUUUCUGCGACCAACAAAAAAGCAUGGUGAUUAGAGAGGGAAGUCCGCAAGGGCUUUUCUCUUUAACAAGCUUGGUCGGUUCCUGGGGGACAUCAAACUCGUUUGAUGUUUUCCAGCUCAUUAGAUGUGGUUUUUUCAUCAUGCGACAAUUAUUAACCCCUUGUAACAAAAAAUGAACUAAAGAACUUGCUACCCAAUAAAACGGGUGGUGAAAAGACCGAAAUUAAGAAAACAACUCUUAACAACGGAUAUCUUGGUUCUC
rnacentral:misc_RNA from 1 species